GUGGUAGGCUUAACACAUGCAAGUCGAACGAGAUUUAUCUGUGUUUACACAAAUAAUGAUAGUGGCGCACGGGUGAGUAACACGUGGGAACAUACCCUGAAGUGGGGGAUAACUUUUGGAAACGGAAGCUAAUACCGCAUACUCCCUGAGGGGGAAAGAUUUAUCGCUUUAAGAUUGGCCCGCGGAAGAUUAGGCAGUUGGUGAGGUAAAGGCUCACCAAACCUACGAUCUAUAGCUGGUCUGAGAGGACGAUCAGCCACACUGGAACUGAGACACGGUCCAGACUCCUACGGGAGGCAGCAGUGAGGAAUAUUGGGCAAUGGGGGCAACCCUGACCCAGCCAUACCACGUGAGUGAAGAAGGUCUUCGGAUUGUAAAGCUCUUUCGGAUGUGAAGAUGAUGACAGUAGCAUCUAAAGAAGCACCGGCAAACUUCGUGCCAGCCGCCGCGGUAACAC
rnacentral:rRNA from 1 species